rnacentral:rRNA from 1 species
GCAGAACGCGAAGAACCUUACCUACUCUUGACAUCCACGGAACUUAGCAGAGAUGCUUUGGUGCCUUCGGGAACCGUGAGACAGGUGCUGCAUGGCUGUCGUCAGCUCGUGUUGUGAAAUGUUGGGUUAAGUCCCGCAACGAGCGCAACCCUUAUCCUUUGUUGCCAGCGGUUAGGCCGGGAACUCAAAGGAGACUGCCAGUGAUAAACUGGAGGAAGGUGGGGAUGACGUCAAGUCAUCAUGGCCCUUACGAGUAGGGCUACACACGUGCUACAAUGGCGCAUACAAAGAGAAGCGACCUCGCGAGAGCAAGCGGACCUCAUAAAGUGCGUCGUAGUCCGGAUUGGAGUCUGCAACUCGACUCCAUGAAGUCGGAAUCGCUAGUAAUCGUAGAUCAGAAUGCUACGGUGAAUACGUUCCCGGGUCUUGUACACACCG